AUGUGCUUCGACAUCCGGGCGAAUGACUUGGUUUGGAAGAAGGAUGAAACGAAGGUGAGACCUGGGAAACCUCGUUGCUCUUUCGCUCCUAGCUGGAGUCAUCCUCCGUUAAGGGUUACCUCGGUGGAAGCCAACAAUCUUCUCCAGUCGGAAGGUCGACAACUGAAAGCCCUGACGCCCUACACUUCGGUGAAGCCUGUGAGACAAAGAAUGUUAAGCGUUGGUUGACAUUUGAGAAAGCAAGACAUUUUUAGCUGAACUCAUAAAAAUGUACCUCCCCAAAUGACUUUAGGACCAUCAACUGUCCAAACCACACAGGAGGUAUCCCAUCCACCAGAGCCAGUGAGUUCGGAUCAGUCUGAUUCUCUGUGCUCUGAGUCAGAAGGGGACCAGCUUGAGGUCGGCUAUACUUUCAAAAUCUGUUGAAAACUACAUAUCUCUCCUUCAUAACAUUGCACUAAUCUGUCAAAUGUUCUCACAAGAGGCUUGUGUCCGACUGGAGGAACAGGGACAGGUAGGUUCAGUCACUGGACUAGAAGACACUAGUGAGGUUCUCAUCACUAGUGUCCAACAGGGGCAGGUAAGGCCAACUGCUCUCUCAGGCCGGAUGGAGGACCUCCGGGAGGGGAGG
rnacentral:lncRNA from 13 species